GCAGUCGAGCGGACAGAUGGGAGCUUGCUCCCUGAUGUUAGCGGCGGACGGGUGAGUAACACGUGGGUAACCUGCCUGUAAGACUGGGAUAACUCCGGGAAACCGGGGCUAAUACCGGAUGCUUGAUUGAACCGCAUGGUUCAAUUAUAAAAGGUGGCUUUUAGCUACCACUUACAGAUGGACCCGCGGCGCAUUAGCUAGUUGGUGAGGUAACGGCUCACCAAGGCGACGAUGCGUAGCCGACCUGAGAGGGUGAUCGGCCACACUGGGACUGAGACACGGCCCAGACUCCUACGGGAGGCAGCAGUAGGGAAUCUUCCGCAAUGGACGAAAGUCUGACGGAGCAACGCCGCGUGAGUGAUGAAGGUUUUCGGAUCGUAAAACUCUGUUGUUAGGGAAGAACAAGUACCGUUCGAAUAGGGCGGUACCUUGACGGUACCUAACCAGAAAGCCACGGCUAACUACGUGCCAGCAGCCGCGGUAAUACGUAGGUGGCAAGCGUUGUCCGGAAUUAUUGGGCGUAAAGCGCGCGCAGGCGGUUUCUUAAGUCUGAUGUGAAAGCCCCCGGCUCAACCGGGGAGGGUCAUUGGAAACUGGGGAACUUGAGUGCAGAAGAGGAGAGUGGAAUUCCACGUGUAGCGGUGAAAUGCGUAGAGAUGUGGAGGAACACCAGUGGCGAAGGCGACUCUCUGGUCUGUAACUGACGUUGAGGCGCGAAAGCGUGGGGAGCGAACAGGAUUAGAUACCCUGGUAGUCCACGCCGUAAACGAUGAGUGCUAAGUGUUAGAGGGUUUCCGCCCUUUAGUGCUGCAGCAAACGCAUUAAGCACUCCGCCUGGGGAGUACGGUCGCAAGACUGAAACUCAAAGGAAUUGACGGGGGCCCGCACAAGCGGUGGAGCAUGUGGUUUAAUUCGAAGCAACGCGAAGAACCUUACCAGGUCUUGACAUCCUCUGACAACCCUAGAGAUAGGGCUUCCCCUUCGGGGGCAGAGUGACAGGUGGUGCAUGGUUGUCGUCAGCUCGUGUCGUGAGAUGUUGGGUUAAGUCCCGCAACGAGCGCAACCCUUGAUCUUAGUUGCCAGCAUUCAGUUGGGCACUCUAAGGUGACUGCCGGUGACAAACCGGAGGAAGGUGGGGAUGACGUCAAAUCAUCAUGCCCCUUAUGACCUGGGCUACACACGUGCUACAAUGGGCAGAACAAAGGGCAGCGAAGCCGCG
rnacentral:rRNA from 1 species